rnacentral:ncRNA from 1 species
GAGGAGAAAGCCGAAAAUCCCGAAAAGAGUAGGCG